rnacentral:rRNA from 1 species
GAAUUCGCCCUUAGAGUUUGAUCCUGGCUCAGGAUGAACGCUGGCGGCGUGCUUAACACAUGCAAGUCGAACGAGAAGUGGAGACGGAAACCUUCGGGCGGAAGACUUUAUUUCGAGUGGCGGACGGGUGAGUAACGCGUGGGUAACCUGCCUCAUACAGGGGGAUAACAGUUGGAAACGACUGUUAAUACCGCAUAAGACCACAGCACCGCAUGGUGCGGGGGUAAAAACUCCGGUGGUAUGAGAUGGACCCGCGUUCGAUUAGCCAGUUGGCGGGGUAACGGCCCACCAAAGCGACGAUCGAUAGCCGAUCUGAGAGGAUGACCGGCCACAUUGGGACUGAGACACGGCCCAAACUCCUACGGGAGGCAGCAGUGGGGAAUAUUGCACAAUGGGGGAAACCCUGAUGCAGCGACGCCGCGUGAGUGAAGAAGUAUUUCGGUAUGUAAAGCUCUAUCAGCAGGGAAGAAAAUGACGGUACCUGAGUAAGAAGCCCCGGCUAACUACGUGCCAGCAGCCGCGGUAAUACGUAGGGGGCAAGCGUUAUCCGGAUUUACUGGGUGUAAAGGGAGCGCAGACGGCUCUGCAAGUCUGAAGUGAAAGCCCGCGGCUUAACCGCGGGACUGCUUUGGAAACUGCAAGGCUUGAGUAUCGGAGGGGCAGGCGGAAUUCCUAGUGUAGCGGUGAAAUGCGUAGAUAUUAGGAAGAACACCGGUGGCGAAGGCGGCCUGCUGGACGAAAACUGACGUUGAGGCUCGAAGGCGUGGGGAGCAAACAGGAUUAGAUACCCUGGUAGUCCACGCGGUAAACGA